UCUAGGGUUUUAAGAAGAGAUAGGACUGUGAAGUCUUACAUCACGUAUUCAGGAUAGCUACAUAUACCUGGUGUAGUUUUGGUGUUCGGGGAUGGAAAAAUCAUGUUCGUUCAUCUUCGUUUUCUGCCACAAGAGGAGAGAGCGCGAGAACGAAUGUGGUUCGAAACACUCGGCUAUUAGAUGCAACAGUCGUGGCGUGUGUGCUGAGCUUAUUUUGCUGCCGAUGACUACGAAGAAGAUGCCGUAGACGGCGAAUUGCGAAGGCGUCCGAAGCAAACUGCCGUUCAGUAACCAGUGAUUUUGCUUCACCGAGGUGACUAGUUCAACACAACUCUUUAGGGGCCUUCCAGUGGCGCCGGACUGCUACGUGUUGUGUGAUCCAGGCACUCAAGUUGACACGACAGAAAUAGCUGAAAGCAGGUAUGCAAAGUCCAGAUACGGAAGCAGUAGAUUUGUUAGGUGUUGCAGACUUUGUGACAUUUAUGGAGUCUUUGCACAGGUGCAGAACAUUAGUACGAUGUCAACAGUAGGAGAAGAAACCGAUGAGAACUGCUAGCUGGUUUGAAUGGUAGAAGAAUACUUCCUGUGUGAAGAGGUGUAGUUAUAUGACUAAGGAACGCUAAUUAAUUUUCUAGUGAUGCAUCCUCUACGCUUGAAUGACCAUUGAAACAGUGAAAGUUCAUUGUCUUUUAAGCCCUACUACAGGAAUUGUUGAGUGUGUGUCACUGCUGCAGUGAACCAUCCCUUACAAAAAUCAAAAAUGAAUUUCUACUUUCUAUAGGGGUUUUAUAGAAUGCCUAUCUAGCGUAUCCAGUGUCUAUCUUGUAGAUAGAAACUGCAUGGUUCUACUGAACUGGUUCUAUAUAGAGAGCUUAACUAGUGGGCUCUGUAUGUUUUCUAUAGAAACAUAUGAAUACAGUAUGUAUAUAUUCUGUAUCCAUUAUUUAUAGAGAUAAAUCCUCCAUGAAACAUAUAUUUUCUCACCAUUAUGUAGCUAGAUACCUGCGCACUAUCAGUAACAGGCUCUGCAGCUAUCAAAUUAAUUUAUUUUCUGUGGAGACACCUGAAUCCAGAAUGUAUAUAUUCUGUAUCCAUUCUGUAUAGAGACAUAUCCCCUAUCGAAAUGUAUUUUCUCACAUUACGUAGACUACCAGACUACACGUCCAGUAAGUAUGGGGCAUCAGUUGCUGCUAUAAAGAGGAGCCUCGCCUCUAUGCUGCUUGAGCUGAGUGACUCACAACAGUGAUUUUGUACAUAAAAUGUAAAUAAAUCUGAGUGUGUUUUACCUUACAACCUCGUCACUGUUGCAUGUUCCUCAGGGCUAUGUAGUCAAACACCAAGCAUCACAAAUAAAGACAACGUAUACGUGCCGUAUAUACAUCGAACAAGAAAUGUAUAAAAUUCGGACAGCUACUCAAUACAAUCUCUAUUCAGUUUCUUUACAGUUCCUAACUGCUUUGUAUAGGAUUUGUAUCCACCCGCCUGUAUCCAGAUUCUAUAGAAAUCAGUCACCAAUUAUCUAUAGAAAAUAUAUUUAAGAGUACAUAAAAACUGUAUAGUAUUCCUAUAGAAAUUCAAUCUGCUUUAUCUAGGCAUUUCUAUACAACAACUAUAGGAUCUAGUUAAACAUUUUUGUAAGGGAUGCAAGCUUACCACAUCAUAUUGGUCCUAAAUUUGUGGAGUUCCCCUAUCUCAGGCACAACCGUCAUGUUUCUUUAUUGCUCUCCCCAUCCUAUCUUCUCAGAGAUUAAUGUGGUUCUCCAUGCAUUGCAUGGGCACUGCCUUUUCUACUCAUGCUUUCAUGUUCUUGUUCUGUUGAAUAAAUCUUCACUUGAAAGUUUGCAGCCAUCACGCUGUCUACUGUGUUUGCCUCUAUCUAUAUUGAUGUUCCAUAACGGUAUAGCACAUCAACAUGCCAAUAACCUACCAACAACAACCAAACAACGUUGCUAGUCCUACCUUUGGAUGGAAACUACACGAUUUGGUAACAUCCACAUGUAUAAAAUUUUAGUCGACGGAGAUUGACUGUUUUUGUACAUCCUUCAUUAUAAGUACUUUUCUUUCGUCUCACUUAGCAUGCAUGAAGAAAAGUUCUCAUCCUCAUCAAGAUGACAGGUCACUGUUGGAUCUGCAGCAUUAUUGUCCCUGCAGUCUUUUCACCAACAGAGAAUACAAAAGUGCACAAAUGGUGAUACAACUCUAUCAAGUACGUCG